UACGAGAGGCCCAAACGUUAUUCGGAUUUACUGGGCUUAAAGAGUUCGUAGGCGGCGCAGAAAGUAGGGUGUGAAAGCCCUCGGCUCAACCAAGGAAUUGCGCCCUAAACUACUGUGCUUGAGGGACCUAGAGGUGAGCAGAACUGAUGGUGGAGCGGUGAAAUGCGUUGAUAUCAUCAGGAAUACCGGAGGCGAAGGCGGCUCACUGGGGGUCUUCUGACGCUGAGGAACGAAAGCCAGGGGAGCGAACGGG
rnacentral:rRNA from 1 species